rnacentral:misc_RNA from 1 species
GAUGAAGAACGUAGCGAAACGCGAAAGGUAAUGCGAAUUGCAGAAUCAGUGAGUCAUCGAAUCUUUGAACGCACAUUGCGCCUCUCGGUAUUCCGGGAGGCACGCCUGUUCGAGCGCCAUUACACCACUCAAGCCUCGCUUGGUAUUGGGCAUCGCGGUCCGCCGCGUGCCUCAAAUCGACCGGCUGGGUCUUCUGUCCCCUAAGCGUUGUGGAAACUAUUCGCUAAAGGGUGUUCGGGAGGCUACGCCGUAAAACAACCCCAUUUCUAAGGUUGACCUCGGAUCAGGUAGGGAUACCCGCUGAACUUAAGCAUAUCAAUAAGCGGAGGA